AUUGGGUCAGUUUCUGGGCCGGAGCUGCGAGAAACCGCCGUCCCCUCUGCCUGCCCAGGCCGUCGGCGUCUCGGAGACUCCAACCCAGGCCGCGCCGGCGCCACCGCUCUCCCCGGCGUAUGGCACUGUUGCAGCCGAAGCCGUUGUUGAAUAGGCCAAGAUCACAAACGAUAUCUUCGAGCUGAUGAGGUAAGGUGGAUCCCUUUUGCCUUUUUCUGCAGUCCUUAAUAAUAUAUGCAGGCGUACUUCUGCAUGUAUUUGAGCCUAACCAAAACACUACUACUACGACUCUUGCAUUGCAUGGUAAUUUUCUUGUGUGUGAUUUUGAUGCAUGGAUGAGUAAUCCUCACUAUCUCCUUUGAGGAAUGGAUCGAAACCUUCUUCCCUGAAAAGGAAUUAAUAGAGUGAACCCAAGCAAGGAUCAAUCGUACUAUACACUACUCUGGUCCAAAUAUCUCACUUGUUUCGAUCAGCUUGUAGCAGUACAGUAGAUCUCUGAUGGGACAUCGUUCAGCAGAGCCGUUACUCCGUAUGCAUGGCAUGUGUUUGUGGGGGACUAACUCUGGUGCCUGUGGGGGACAUUGGUCAUGUCAGCAGUUGAUGAGAGUCCCUGCCAGUUCUUGGAGCGUCGUUGUUGUUGCUACUGCUGCUGUGGGCUACUCUCCCUAGCGAUAUAUAUGGCUUCUCUCACCAUCGGCUGGCCGUCGCCACUUUCCAGCAGGAUCAAUCGUCCUAAGGCUAUAGUUAACGGUUUUUCUUCGGAGAUGAGUU